rnacentral:rRNA from 1 species
UACGUAGGGGGGCAAGCGUUGUCCGGAUUUAUUGGGCGUAAAGAGCGUGUAGGCGGCCAGACAGGUCAGCUGUGAAAACUCGAGGCUCACCUCGAGACGUCGGUUGAAACCGUCUGGCUAGAGUCCGGAAGAGGAGAGUGGAAUUCCCGGUGUAGCGGUGAAAUGCGCAGAUAUCGGGGAAGAACACCCGUGGCGAAGGCGGCUCUCUGGGACGGUACUGACGCUGAGACGCGAAAGCGUGGGGAGCGAACAGG